GGCCUUGACAUACUAAGAACUUUCCAGAGAUGGAUUGGUGCCUUCGGGAACUUAGAUACAGGUGCUGCAUGGCUGUCGUCAGCUCGUGUCGUGAGAUGUUGGGUUAAGUCCCGCAACGAGCGCAACCCUUUUCCUUAUUUGCCAGCGGGUAAUGCCGGGAACUUUAAGGACACUGCCAGUGACAAACUGGAGGAAGGCGGGGACGACGUCAAGUCAUCAUGGCCCUUACGGCCAGGGCUACACACGUGCUACAAUGGUCGGUACAAAGGGUUGCUACCUCGCGAGAGGAUGCUAAUCUCAAAAAGCCGAUCGUAGUCCGGAUCGCAGUCUGCAACUCGACUGCGUGAAGUCGGAAUCGCUAGUAAUCGCGGAUCAGAAUGCCGCGGUGAAUACGUUCCCGGGCCUUGUACACACCGCCCGUCACACCAUGGGAGUUUGUUGCACCAGAAGUAGGUAGUCUAACCGCAAGGAGGACGCUUACCACGGUGUGGCCGAUGACUGGGGUGAAGUCGUAACAAGGUAAGCGUAGAUGA
rnacentral:rRNA from 1 species